GACGAACGCUGGCGGCGUGCCUAAUACAUGCAAGUAGAACGCUGAAGGAGGAGCUUGCUUCUCUGGAUGAGUUGCGAACGGGUGAGUAACGCGUAGGUAACCUGCCUGUUAGCGGGGGAUAACUAUUGGAAACGAUAGCUAAUACCGCAUAAUAUCAGUUAUUGCAUGAUAACUGUUUGAAAGGUGCAAUUGCACCACUACCAGAUGGACCUGCGUUGUAUUAGCUAGUUGGUGGGGUAACGGCUCACCAAGGCGACGAUACAUAGCCGACCUGAGAGGGUGAUCGGCCACACUGGGACUGAGACACGGCCCAGACUCCUACGGGAGGCAGCAGUAGGGAAUCUUCGGCAAUGGACGGAAGUCUGAACGAGCAACGCCGCGUGAGUGAAGAAGGUUCUCGGAUCGUAAAGCUCUGUUGUAAGAGAAGAACGAGUGUGAGAGUGGAAAGUUCACACUGUGACGGUAUCUUACCAGAAAGGGACGGCUAACUACGUG
rnacentral:rRNA from 1 species